GACAGCCAGCGGAGUUUUAACUGAUGAAUCUCCAGCUCUUUUAUAUCUUUAUUUAUGCAGUUUUUACCCCUACAUAUUUAAAAACUUCUAGAAUACUGCUGUGAUAAUAACCCCAUAAGCAGAAAGAACUUUGUUUUUAUUUUUAAAGUUUGAAUGACUAUAACUAAUGAUCUCUAUAGUCAUUUAAACAAUCUUGGAAAAAAACUGGAAAAAAAUGUUUUAAAGCUGGUAGUGAGCCCUGCGGUGAUGGGUAUGGGCUGGAAACGGUGGCACUGACAAAAAAGACGAGCUGAAGGUGGCAGAGGUGAAGAUGCUAAGAUUUUAAUUGGGCGUGAGCACAAAAGAACACAGGAAAAUGGAGAGAAGUUGGCGCAAAAGAACAGAGGAAAUUCCAUUGGAGUAAUAUGGCAUGACCACGCCCACUAUCCCGCAGUGCAACAGAGACAGCUGUCAGUGGUGAGCCAGGAUGCAAGCUGUGCGUGUGAAGUGCAGAGAACAACAGAAGUACAUCAGUUUUGAGGGCCAACUGACCUACAGAUCAUUUUUGGAAUGCGUUGCCAAGAAGUUCAACAUCCUGAACAUAUGACUUCUCUAAGAUACUUGAUCCAAUUGUGAAGGAUAUGAAAAUCCUGGAGGGGAUGGAAUUACAAUUGCCCUGCAUGAUGACCCAGUACAUGGAACUAUUGUCCAAGUUACUACUGACAACUUUGGUCUUCACUGUCUGUUUGGUUUUCUAGAGUCAUUUAGUGCCAGAUAUUGUUGCAACUUUUGUCUUGCUGAGAAAGAGGACUUUCAGAAAGAGUUUACAGAGGAUUCACCCAAGAUAAUCAUGCGAACUCAAGCACUUCACACUGAACAUUGCCAAAAAAUGGAGGCAAAUCCCAGACUGCCUUAUGUGAUGGGUGUUAAACAGUCUUGGAUUCUAAACUCAUUGCAGUACUUCAAUACAUGUGAAAAUUUCUCUGUUGAUAUUAUGCACGAUAUCUUGGAGGGAGUCGCACAAUAUGAAAUGAAACUGAUUGUGUUACAUGCAAUAGAUCAGUAUACAACAUCAAAGGAAGUGGACAUGAGAAUUAAGAGCUUAAACUGUGGCUAAAUGGAACAAAACAACAAACCACCUACAGUGAAGUUGGGAGAGGACUCAAAUGACUUGGAGUUAAAUGCCAUCCAGUCCUGGUGUUUACAUCGGCAUCUACCACUCAUCUUUGGAGACUUAGUUUGUCCAAACGAUCAGCACUGGUAUUUGCUACUGCUGUUGUUUCAAAUAGUGAAUAUUUUCAGCAGUGUUAUCAAAAGGUAUCACUAUUUCCUUGAAACACCUGAUCGCCAAACGCCACAGGUUAUCCAAGGGUUUAUUUCCACACAAGAAGCUGCUACCAAAGCAUCAUUUCGUGAUGCAUUAUCCUACAUGUAUACUUAAAACACGACCACUUUUGCAUAGCUGGUGCAUACGCAAUGAAGCAAAACACAGCUUCUUUAAAAAAAAACAAUUGAAAAGUUUCAGAAAUGUAAUUAAAACGUUGGCAACAAAACAUCAAAGUCCUAUUGCUUUCAGUUGGCAGACAUUUGACCCCAAGAGACUGACCACUGGACCAAGUAACAUGCUUUCUUGAAAUGCAUUGGACUGGGGCUGUGAGAUGGCAGAGACUCUUCAGCUACCAAUCAACACCAAGGUGUUAAAUGUUAGAUGGGCAAAACACCAUGGAAAUAUUUAUCGUGCAGAUUUAGUUGUUUGUAUAAAAGUCCAUUGUGAAAUGCCAGUUUCAAUGAUUUUCAAGUUCUGUGUAAAAGAGACGGACCUCAUGUAAUUCAUGCCAAAGAGCUUUUCUGUUGUAAAGCAUUUGAUUUACAGGUGUCAUACAGUCAUGGUGAUUCCAGUUUUUAUAUUGUACCAAACUGUUUCCUCUGAACAAUAAAGGUGGCUGCUAAAACCAAAAAA